rnacentral:rRNA from 1 species
AUUGAACGCUGGCGGCAUGCUUUACACAUGCAAGUCGAACGGCAGCGCGGGCUUCGGCCUGGCGGCGAGUGGCGAACGGGUGAGUAAUGCAUCGGAACGUGCCCAGUAGUGGGGGAUAGCCCGGCGAAAGCCGGAUUAAUACCGCAUACUACCUGAGGGUGAAAGCGGGGGGCCGAAAGGCCUCGCGCUAUUGGAGCGGCCGAUGUCGGAUUAGCUAGUUGGUGGGGUAAAGGCUUACCAAGGCGACGAUCCGUAGCUGGUCUGAGAGGACGACCAGCCACACUGGGACUGAGACACGGCCCAGACUCCUACGGGAGGCAGCAGUGGGGAAUUUUGGACAAUGGGGGCAACCCUGAUCCAGCCAUGCCGCGUGCGGGAAGAAGGCCUUCGGGUUGUAAACCGCUUUUGUUCGGGAAGAAAUCCUCUGGGCUAAUACCCCGGGGGGAUGACGGUACCGGAAGAAUAAGCACCGGCUAACUACGU